rnacentral:rRNA from 1 species
UACAGAGGUCUCAAGCGUUGUUCGGAUUCAUUGGGCGUAAAGGGUGCGUAGGCGGCGCGGUAAGUCGGGUGUGAAAUUUCGAGGCUUAACUUCGAAACUGCAUUCGAUACUGCCGUGCUUGAGGACUGGAGAGGAGACUGGAAUUUACGGUGUAGCGGUGAAAUGCGUAGAUAUCGUAAGGAAGACCAGUGGCGAAGGCGGGUCUCUGGACAGUUCCUGACGCUGAGGCGCGAAAGCGUGGGGAGCGAACGGG